rnacentral:piRNA from 1 species
AACAACUGUGCAUUCUUAGAGUCCUCUGC